rnacentral:tRNA from 1 species
GCGAGGGUUUGGCGGCCAAGGCGCACGGCUGCAACCCGUGUAUUCGUGGGUUCGAGUCCCACCUCUCGCU